rnacentral:rRNA from 1 species
UCAGACCUACGGGGGGCAGCAGUCGAGAAUCAUUCACGAUGGGGGAAACCCUGAUGGUGCGACGCCGCGUGGGGGAAUGAAGGUCUUCGGAUUGUAAACCCCUGUCAUGUGGGAGCAAAUUAAAAAGAUAGUACCACAAGAGGAAGAGACGGCUAACUAUGUGCCAGCAGCCGCGGGAAUACAGAGGUCUCAAGCGUUGUUCGGAAUCACUGGGCGUAAAGCGUGCGUAGGCUGUUUCGUAAGUCGUGUGGGAAAGGCGCGGG